GGUUGCGAUCAUACCAGCACUAAUGCACCGGAUCCCAUCAGAACUCCGCAGUUAAGCGUGCUUGGGCGAGAGUAGUACUAGGAUGGGUGACCCCCUCGGAAGUCCUCGUGUUGCAACGC
rnacentral:rRNA from 1 species